ensembl:lncRNA
AGUCGCCCCCUACUGUUUAUCAGAGUCGCCCCUGCUGUUUAUCAGAGUCGCCCCCUGCUGUUUAUCAGAGCUCCCCCUGCUGUUUAUCAGAGUCGCCCCCCUACUGUUUAUCAGAGUCGCCCCCUGCUGUUUAUCAGAGUCGCCCCCUGCUGUUUAUCAGAGCUCCCCCUGCUGUUUAUCAGAGCUCCCCCUGCUGUUUAUCAGAGUGCCCCCUGCUGUUUAUCAGAGCUGCCCCUGCUGUUUAUCAGAGUCGCCCCCUGCUGUUUAUCAGAGUGCCCCCUGCUGUUUAUCAGAGCUCCCCCUGCUGUUUAUCAGAGCUCCCCCUGCUGUUUAUCAGAGUCUCCCCCUGCUGUUUAUCAGAGUCGCCCCCUACUGUUUAUCAGAGCUCCUCCUGCUGUUUAUCAGAGUUUCCCCUGCUGUUUAUCAGAGUCGCCCCCUGCUGUUUAUCAGAGCUCCUCCUGCUGUUUAUCAGAGUUCCCCCUGCUGUUUAUCAGAGUCGCCCCCUGCUGUUUAUCAGAGCUCCUCCUGCUGUUUAUCAGAGUCGCCCCCUGCUGUUUAUCAGAGUCUCCCCCUGCUGUUUAUCAGAGCGCCCUCCUACUGUUUAUCAGAGUCGCCCCCUGCUGUUUAUCAGAGUCGCCCCCUGCUGUUUAUCAGAGUCGCCCCUGCUGUUUAUCAGAGCUCCCCCUACUGUUUAUCAGAGUUCCCCCUGCUGUUUAUCAGAGUCGCCCCCUGCUGUUCAUCAGAGUCACCCCCUGCUGUUUAUCAGAGUCGCCCCCUGCUGUUUAUCAGAGUCGCCCCCUGCUGUUUAUCAGAGCUCCCUCUGCUGUUUAUCAGAGCUCCCCCUGCUGUUUAUCAGAGCUCCCCCUGCUGUUUAUCAGAGCUCCCCCUGCUGUUUAUCAGAGUCGACCCCUGCUGUUUAUCAGAGCUCCCCCUGCUGUUUAUCAGAGCUCCCCCUGCUGUUUAUCAGAGUCGCCCCUGAUGUUUAUCAGAGCGCCCCCUGCUGUUUAUCAGAGCUCCCCCUGCUGUUUAUCAGUCGCCCCCUGCUGUUUAUCAGAGCGGCCCCCUGCUGUUUAUCAGAGCUCCCCCUGCUGUUUAUCAGAGUCGCCCCUGCUGUUUAUCAGAGUCGCCCCCUGCUGUUUAUCAGAGCUCCCCCUGCUGUUUAUCAGAGCUCCCCCUGCUGUUUAUCAGAGCUCCUCCUGCUGUUUAUCAGAGCUCCCCCUGCUGUUUAUCAGAGUCGCCACCUGCUGUUUAUCAGAGCUGCUCCUGCUGUUUAUCAGAGCUCCUCCUGCUGUUUAUCAGAGCUCCUCCUGCUGUUUAUCAGAGUCGCCCCCUGCUGUUUAUCAGAGCUCCUCCUGCUGUUUAUCAGAGCUCCCCCUGCUGUUUAUCAGAGCUCCUCCUGCUGUUUAUCAGAGCUCCCCCUCCUGUUUAUCAGAGGUCACCUGCUGUUUAUCAGAGCGCCCCCUGCUGUUUAUCAGAGCGUUACUCCUCCUGAUAAACAGACACACACUCAGCUCCGCCUCCUCAUUAUUCACCACCAUCGCUGGAAUAUAUCACCAUCAACAUUACCGCAGGACAGUAAUCAGAGGGACGGUGGAGUUCGAGUCUCACCCUCACAAGGAGAUUAAAGCUGUGUAA